UCUAACCUUACCCAGUGGAAUCCUCCUGAACCCAAAGUAUAUGCCCCUGGUGAAAUUUUCUGACAUUUUCUGUACAUGUGCUGUAUAGUUAUAUGUAAUCCCACACUGAGACUGGCUCUCCCACUUCUUCAUAAAUAUGCAUGAAUUUCCUGAAAAACUAAAUAUUGUACAGGCUAGGAUAUCACCCUACCUGCUAUAAAACCAUAGUCCCACUGCCUCUCCUUUAAAUCUUUCCUACAAGUUUUCCAACUCAAUUUGUUUCUCAAGCAGUAAACCCUUUCUUUCUCAUACAGUUGUUCCUGUGAUUUCUGUGACAGCUACUAAAGGAUUCUGACACAAUGUUAUGCUUGUGAGUUUGCUAUUGUUCUUUGUGGUGGUUGCUGUUUUUUUGUUUGUUUGUUACCAGAACUUAAUCACUCCAGAAUAACUUUUUCAGAGACAGAGUGAAAGACACCGUAGCACCAAAGCUUCUGCCAAUUCAGUGGACCCUACGCUUGAGCCUGGGUGGCAAGCAUGAAGCAGGCACAUUGUCCAGCAUCUCACUCUCUAGUUUCAAACAAGCCUACAUCUCGAUGUGACUAGAAAGAUCACAAGAAGCUCAGCUUCAAGUUCAAGGAUGAGAAAAGUCUAUAGACAGAUAUUUAUGGCAGCAGGAGCUCUCAGCACCAAAAAUUCCAAAGAAGAGGAACUUCUCCCUCUAUACAGAGGACUUUGAUUGUAAGACAGUGACAAGAACCUUUGUUGUUUUAUUCAUGACCUCCUUUUUGAUGAAAACAUAGUUACAGAAAGACAUUUGAAAAGUUGGUACAAUUUUCAGUUUUUCCCAGAAGCUGAGUACAGCUGUAGAAAUUCUGUGGCAAAGCAGGGUAAAUGAAGCCUAGCUCUCCAAUCAGAGGACCACAGAAGAAAGGGAACAUGAAACAUGGAACAGGGAACCAUGAAAUAUCAAGGAGACUGUGGAAUAGGAGGAAAUUAGGAAAGCAAUUCCAUAUGGUUAUUUUUAUAAAUGCCCGGGUUCAUUCUGGGACUGGACAUUCAUGCAUCAGGCUUUAAUUGACACAUCAAAGAUCAUAAUAUUCAAAUGAGACCCAGAACCCUAGCCAGGUCCCAUAUUAGUCAAUGGAUGUGGCACAAAUUUUCAUAGCAAGCAAAAGAAAGGACUUGAGAAAAACUGACUUUCAAGCUAUAAUUCACAUAAAGCUGACUGGAACUAAUGACCUGAACCAUUAGGCCAUUUAGUUGUUAAUCAAAAAACAAAUCAGGGGUCAGGCAAUAGCGCAGCAGGUUAAGUGCACGUGGCACAAAGCACAAGGACCAGCGUAAGGAUCCUGGUUCGAGCCCCCAGCUCCCCACUGCAAGGGAGUCACUUCACAGGUGGUGAAACAGGUCUGCAGGUGUCUAUCUUUCUCUCCCUCUUUCUAUCUUCCCCUCCUCUCUCCAUUUCUUUCUGUCCUAUCCAACAAGGAAGAACAUCAACAGCAACAAUAAUAACCACAACAAGGCUACAACAACAAGGGCAACAAAAGAGGAAAAAAUAAAUGGCCUCCAGGAGCAGUGGAUUCAUGGUGCAGGCACCGAGCCCCAGCAAUAACCCUGGAGGCAAUAAAUAAAUAAAUAAAAGUUAAAAAAGCAACAAAUCAGUGAUGUUCGUGAGAUUUAAACAGGGCCCAAAGUCUUAUAACUGACUUUCAAAAUGUCUGUUACAAUCCAAAAUUACUCAACAAAGACCAAACAAAUCCCAACCCUCAUGGGAACAGAUUGUCAAACAUGCCAAUAUUGAGGUGACAUUUUUAAAAUUGAUAUGACAAAGACAUUACAUUAGGGGCCACAAGGAGUGAGUAAGAGUGGAUUCUGUUCAAAUGAAUGAAUAAAAAGUUUCACCAAAGAAAUUGAAAGAACAAUUUUGAAACAAGGUGUCAAAUGUAAAGCUUGUAAGAACAAAAAUAAUUUUUUAGCAAA